ensembl:lncRNA
UUCCCUGCCUAUGCUCCUCCACAGGUGCUCUCAAUUUGAAGUCCAAAGCAGCCUAUUUGAGGGUAUUGUUUUCUGAGUCCUAACAACCUCAAAAUAUGCCUUCCUCCUUAAGCAAAAACCACUCAUUCUUUCCUUCUCUAGGAGAGACGACUGGUAGUACAUACUCCUGCAAAUGUAUCCUUUGGUAGAGGUGACUCUUAGUAUAUGAGCUCGUGUCCCAGUUCACCUAAAACAAAUCUUGGUUCAUUCCUGUUGUUCAGCAGCCUGUCUGAAGGAUCUUGGACUUACUCUUUUGUUUUAAAUGAAGGAUAAUUUAAGAAUUACAUUACAGUUAGAGAGGACAUGGGGAUGAAUACACCAACCCAUUAAUGAAAUUGAGAUACUGAACAGUAAAUGGCUUGUAUGGGUCCUACAGACCCAAAAGGGAAGGAGAUACCUGAAGCGACCCGGGAAAAAUCCAAGUAAUAACAGAAAUAAUACACUUGAUUGAAAAAAGAUACUAUGAACUCUUGCUGAGAUGUUUAAUUUUCUCUUCAAUUCCUCUCUCCCACCCCUCCAAUUUAGAAUAUUUCUUCGGAAACAAGACUCCAGAACUAAGGAGCAGAGUCCUGCUAUGUUGUCCAGGCCGGCCUUGAACUUCUGGCCUCAAGCAAUACUCCCACUAUGGCCUCUCAAAGUGCUGAGAUUGCAUGCGUGAGCCACCAUGCUCAGCCUAGAUCUUCUUUAAAGUUACUUUCCUCAGCAUUUUGUAGUUUUCAGCAUGUAAGUCCCAUACAUUUUUGUUAGACUUAUACUUAUUUCCUUUUUUGGGGAACAAUUUAAAAUGGUAUUGUAUUUUUAAUUUCAGUGUCUAUAUAUUCAUUGCAUUUAUAUAGAAAUACGAUUAAUUUUUGCAUAUUUAUCUUAUAUCUAGCGUAUUUACUGAACUCACUUAUUCUAGGAGGGUUUUUUUUUUUAAAGAUUUCUUAAUGUUUUCUACAUUGACAAUCAUAUUAUAUAUAAACAGGGAUAGUUUUGUUUUUUCCUUUUGAUUUGGAUGUCUUUCAUUUCUUUUUCUUGUCUUAUUGACCUGAGUAGAACUUGCAGCUUGUGUUGUCAUGAAUAAAGAUGGUGAGAGGAGAAAGACAUUCUGGUCUCCUUACCGAUCUUAAGGGGAAAAUAUUCAGUUUUCACCUUUAGUAUGAUGCUAGCUAUAGGCUCUUAUGUGUAUGCUCUUUAUUUUCUUGAGGAAGUUCUCUUCUAUUUUUAUUUUUAUGAGAAUUUUACUUAUUGAGUUCUAAAUAUUAUCAAAUAUUUUUCUGCCUUCAUUGAUAUAAUCCUGUGAUUUUUUCUUCCUCAGUCUGUCACUAUAGUAGAUUACACUGGCUGAUUUUUGAAUGUUGAAUCAUAUUUACAUGCCAGGAAUAAACCCCACUGGGCCAUGUUGUAUAAUUUCUUUUAUAUGAUGCCAAAUUCUCUGUCCUACUAUUUUAUUAAGGAUUUCAGUAUUUAUAUGCAUGAAGGAUAUUGGUGAUAUUAUUUACCAAGCCGUCUUUGUUUGGUUUUGGUAUCAGAGUGAUACCAGCUUCAGACCAAAACCUGACAAGGACACACACAACAAAAACCCUACAGGCCAACAUCUCUGACGAACAUAGAUGCAAAAAUUCUGGAUAAAAUGCUAGCACACUGAAGCCAACAACACAUCAAAUAGAUAAUAUGCCAUGAUCAAAUGAGAUUUAUCCCAGAGACAUAAAGAUGGUUCAACAUAUGCAAAUGAAUAAAUGUACUACAUCACAUCGACAGAAUGAAGGACUAAAACCAUAUGAUCAUCUCAAUAUACAAAGAUAAAGCAUUUGAUAAAAUUCAAAUCCUUACAUGAUAUAAACUCUCAAAUUAGGAACAUAGAAGAAACAUUCCGCAACAUAAUCAAGGCCGUAUAAGGCAAAUGCAUCAUACUAACAUCAUAGCGAAUGGGGAAAAGCUGACAGGCUUUUCUCUAAAAAGUGGAAUUAGACAAGGCUGCCUUUUUUGAGACAAAGUCUUGCUCUGUUGCCCAGGUGAGGAUGCCCACUUUUACCACUCUUACUGAACAUAGCACUGGAAGUCCUAGCCAGAGCAAUCAAAUAAGAGAAAGGAAUAAAAGGCAUCCAGAUUGGAAAAGAAAAAGCCAUUUUUUUUUUUUUUUUUUUUGCAGAUGACAUGAUCUUAUAUAGAGAGAAAUCUAAAGCUUCAACCAAAAAAACCUCCUAGAAUUGAUUAAUGAAUCAGUAAACUUGCAGGAUGAAAAAUCAACAUAUAAAAAUUAAUGGCAUUCCUUUUUGGUGGUCCUUUUUUUUUGGUCUUUUUUGAGGCAGUGUCUCACUUUGUCACCCAGGCUGGAGUGCAGUAGCACGAUCUUGGCUCACUGAAACUUCCACCUCCUGGGUUCAAGCAGUUUUCAUGUCUCAGCCUCCUAAGUAGCUGGGAUUAAAGGCAUGUGUCACCAAGUGCGGUUAAUUUUGUAUUUUUAUAGACAGGUUUCACUGUGUUGGCCAGGCUGGUCUCAAACUCCUGACUUCAGGUGAUCCAUCCACCUCAACCUCCCAAAGUGCCGGAAUUAUAGGCAUGAGCCACGAUGCCCAGCCUUUUGUUAUUUUUGUUUUUCAGUUUAGUCAAUGGUCUGCUGAAUACAGAGUAGUUUAACAGUUAGGGUUGCUAAUUACUCCUCAGCACAGAGAUUCAGAGUCAGCACACAAAUGUCUUAUCCAUGACUGAGAUAAACAGUCCCCCUGAACACAGUCCCAAUUGUGUCAUGUGGGCACCCUUCCCCCAUGUCCAUGGAAAGGGGCACCAG